UUCGGCGGCCAUAGCGAGAGGGAAACGCCCGGUCACAUUCCGAACCCGGAAGCUAAGACUCUCAGCGCCGAUGGUACUGCAAGGGGGACCUUGUGGGAGAGUAGGACACCGCCGGACUCCUUUUAG
rnacentral:rRNA from 1 species